rnacentral:rRNA from 1 species
GACGUAGGGCGCGGAGCGUUGUCCGGAUUUAUUGGGCGUAAAGAUGCUCGGUAGGCGGCUUGUCGGCGUUCGUCCGUGAAAACCUGACGAGCUCAACCUGCAGGCUUGCGGUCGGAUACGGGGCAGGCUAGAGUUCGGUAGGGGAGACUGGAAUUCCUGGUGUAGCGGUGAAAUGCGUAGACUAUGCGGAGGAACACCGAUGGCGAAGGCAGCCCCCUGGGUCGACACUGACGCUCAUGCACGAAAGCGUGGGAGCAACAGG